CAUCUUGGAAGCAGCCUGCCACCAUCUUGGGAGCUCUGGGAGCAAGGACCUGGUAACAUUUUGGAGACCAUGAAGGGACUUCCAAAGCGAUAGGAAAUGUUCCCCUCAAGGCAAAAAUGCCCCUAAGAUGUAUUCUGAAGAACUGGGACCAAUUUGACCCUGAGACACUAAGAAAGAAACGACUUACAUUCUUCUGCAGUACAGCCUGGCCACGAUAUCUUCUUCAAGGAGGAGAAACCUGGCUGCCUGAGAGAAGUAUAAAUUAUAACACCAUCUUACAGCUAGACCUCUUUUGUAGAAAAGAAGGCAAAUGGAGUCAAGUGCCAUAUGUACAAACUUUCUUUUCAUUAAAAGACAACUC